rnacentral:rRNA from 1 species
GACGAACGCUGGCGGCGUGCCUAAUACAUGCAAGUUGAGCGCUGAAGGUUGGUACUUGUACCGACUGGAUGAGCAGCGAACGGGUGAGUAACGCGUGGGGAAUCUGCCUUUGAGCGGGGGACAACAUUUGGAAACGAAUGCUAAUACCGCAUAAAAACUUUAAACACAAGUUUUAAGUUUGAAAGAUGCAAUUGCAUCACUCAAAGAUGAUCCCGCGUUGUAUUAGCUAGUUGGUGAGGUAAAGGCUAACCAAGGCGAUGAUACAUAGCCGACCUGAGAGGGUGAUCGGCCACAUUGGGACUGAGACACGGCCCAAACUCCUACGGGAGGCAGCAGUAGGGAAUCUUCGGCGAUGGACGAAAGUCUGACCGAGCAACGCCGCGUGAGUGAAGAAGGUUUUCGGAUCGUAAAACUCUGUUGGUAGAGAAGAACGUUGGUGAGAGUGGAAAGCUCAUCAAGUGACGGUAACUACCCAGAAAGGGACGGCUAACUACGUG